UGUGCUUGCAUCUUCCGAUUAAUAUAAACUUGGCUCAUGUUAGUUUUGUUCAUCACUGUUAUUUUGUUAGGUGUUGAGGCGGUUUAUCUCGACUGGAAACGAGCUGCGCACUCCUGUAACGAAAGAUGAAAUUGUCUCCGAGGUGGCAAGGCAACUCAACAUCAAUAUCCACCCGGACAAUCUGCAUCUGCCGUCACCUUUGUCGUCCCUUGGUGAAUUUGAGCUGCCCCUGCGCUUACCGCAGGACAUACCACGCCCAGAAGGCAAGCUACAAUGGACUCUGAAUGUCAAGAUCAGGAGGAAAUAGUGCAGUAAUUGGGGAAAUUUAAUUCACCACCCGAACCCUUCUAGCUUUCAGAUCCAGGGACCUGUGGAAUAGGUUUUCAGAUCAAAUGUUUUGCUGAUCAGAUAUAUCUGAUUUGCAAGCUUCCUUCCUGGCUUUA